UUCUGGCCACAAGACAGGACAGGUGAGAAAAGAGAAAGGAAGGAGGCCUGGCUUCUGCUUCCUGGAAAGGGGGUGUUGUUACAGAUCUCCUGGGGAGCACACACUCCUCCUGUAAACGUAUAUGAGGCCUGAUGACUUGGCUCACUGUCUGCAGCCCAACGUGUUCCUAGUGGCUGCCUCCCUGGCGUUCUGGCACUCGGGCUGCCACCACCUGCCAACAACAAGGAAGCGGGGUAGCGUGGCUGCGGCUUUUGGAGGCUACUUAUGAAAGAGAUGACUCAGCCCUGGGGGCAGGAGGAGGGUGCAGCUAACACCAACUCAGCAAGAACCGGUGUGCUAUCGGCUCAAUCCAAUUCAGCACUAACCAGUGCCAACCACGUGCCACAUCUUGGAGACGGGAGGAUGCCGAGGCAUGAUGGGAAGAGGACAGGUGUGCCCAUAAGGAACUGUAAUCAGAGGCAUGAACCGUACAAGACAGGAGAAUAAAGAGUCUGGCAGUGGAAGUGAUUUCAGCGGGGUACGUGGAUGGAGGCAGAAGGAGGAAGGAAAUUGUCUCCCUUCCUGUAGUCAGGUGAUGAGUUCAAGUCUUCCUGAAGCAUGCCCUGGGCCUCAGGGCCUCUGAUCCAGUCAGCCUGGCUUCUGGCACCUGAGUGGCCCUCAAACUCACCCUUCUUCUGUGGUCUCAGCUCAGGUCCUCAUUUCUGGCCUUGGUCCAGGCUUUGCUCUCGGCACCCCAAGACAGCGUCCUACCACGUGGGUCAGUCAGUUCACGCCCUGCUUGAAAGCCUUCCAUGGGAGGAGAGGCAGCCAACGAGGCCGAGGCCGUAGGAAGACCAGAAACUGAAGUGCAUUUAUGGUCAUUGGGCCACGCAAGACGCCUGUGGUGGGCAGUGGAAGAAAGGAAAACAGAGACUACAAAGCAGAAGAUUAGCACCUGAAAGGAAUGACUGAAUGGAGGUGUAAAAGAAGCAAAACAAGUCCCCAGGAGCUGUGCUGGCCCAUGCAUGUGGCUAUUGAGCACUUGAAAUGUAGCCAGUGCAUACUGAGAAGUCCACACUGCAUUUUGACUUCAUACUGAAAAAGGAAUGCAAGAAAAUUCCAAAUUCCAUGAAUGGCUCAGCCAUAUUUCUAUGGGACAGUGCUGCCCUGGUGUUGGGUCACCUUUGUCUGAACUGAUAUCAAGCUAUUGAACCAUCGAAAGUCGAGAGGUGAUCAGAAACUGGGCCCCUACUUCCUUGCCAAGGCCCAGACUCGAGCUCUGCCUCUGGCUUUGUCCGUCUGCCUGUCUGUCUGUCUGCUGCUCCCUGCCACCCAUCACCCCAUUUGCUAAACUACCUUAUCCGCAGUAAGAAUAGAUAUAAAGCUUGGCACAGAGCAUAGCUAAGCCUGGAAAGAAUGAGAAGAGAAAACAGGAGGUGAUCAGAAAGUUUAAAAGAGAUGACUCUGGGGUCCAGGCUGAGGAACCCACCAGUUUAUGCGUUUAGCAGCAUAUGCUUCAGGU